AUGGAAUCAUUGACAAUCUCUUCAAAGACUCUUGAGAUUCUCGACUUAGUUCCGGAUUCAUGGAAGAUUGAUUUCCCUUAUUUACUUAACAUCAAGUUAUUGAAAAUAGAAACGCAUACUCUUUCAUCAAUACCUAAUGGAAUAGGUGACUUUUUGCUUCAAAACUCACCAUCUGCAAAGAAAGUCAUCGUAGAAUUGUCAGAAGAAACACAAAUUAGAAGAAUGAUUGAUGCGUUGGGUUUUCCAAGAGAUCAUAAUAAGCGUGGAUGCAGUGAUCACCACAAUUAA